UGCGGGGUGGAGCAGUGGUCGCUCACCGGGCUCAUGAUCCCGACCGCGCCGGUUCGAUUCCGGCCCCGCAA
rnacentral:tRNA from 1 species